UGUGUAGGCGGUUGACUAAGUUGGAAGUGUAAUACCCAGGGCUUAACCCGGGUGCUGCUUCCAAAACUGGCCGACUUGAGUGCAGUAGAGGAAAGUGGAAUUCCUAGUGUAGCGGUGGAAUGCGUAGAUAUUAGGAGGAACACCAGUGGCGAAGGCGGCUUUCUGGACUGUAACUGACGCUGAGGCACGAAAGCGUGGGGAGCAAACA
rnacentral:rRNA from 1 species